rnacentral:rRNA from 1 species
CUGCGCGGAAGAUGUAACGGGGCUAAACCAUGCACCGAAGCUGCGGCAGCGACACUGUGUGUUGUUGGGUAGGGGAGCGUUCUGUAAGCCUGUGAAGGUGUGUCGUGAGGCAUGCUGGAGGUAUCAGAAGUGCGAAUGCUGACAUAAGUAACGAUAAAGCGGGUGAAAAGCCCGCUCGCCGGAAGACCAAGGGUUCCUGUCCAACGUUAAUCGGGGCAGGGUGAGUCGACCCCUAAGGCGAGGCCGAAAGGCGUAGUCGAUGGGAAACGGGUUAAUAUUCCCGUACUUGGUGUUACUGCGAAGGGGGGACGGAGAAGGCUAUGUUGGCCGGGCGACGGUUGUCCCGGUUUAAGCGUGUAGGUGUGUGUUCCAGGUAAAUCCGGUUCACUUUAACACUGAGGCGUGACGACGAGGCACUACGGUGCUGAAGCAACAAAUGCCCUGCUUCCAGGAAAAGCCUCUAAGCAUCAGGUAACAUCAAAUCGUACCCCAAACCGACACAGGUGGUCAGGUAGAGAAUACCAAGGCGCUUGAGAGAACUCGGGUGAAGGAACUAGGCAAAAUGGUGCCGUAACUUCGGGAGAAGGCACGCUGACACGUAGGUGAAGUGAUUUACUCAUGGAGCUGAAGUCAGUCGAAGAUACCAGCUGGCUGCAACUGUUUAUUAAAAACACAGCACUGUGCAAACACGAAAGUGGACGUAUACGGUGUGACGCCUGCCCGGUGCCGGAAGGUUAAUUGAUGGGGUCAGCGCAAGCGAAGCUCCUGAUCGAAGCCCCGGUAAACGGCGGCCGUAACUAUAACGGUCCUAAGGUAGCGAAAUUCCUUGUCGGGUAAGUUCCGACCUGCACGAAUGGCGUAAUGAUGGCCAGGCUGUCUCCACCCGAGACUCAGUGAAAUUGAACUCGCUGUGAAGAUGCAGUGUACCCGCGGCAAGACGGAAAGACCCCGUGAACCUUUACUAUAGCUUGACACUGAACAUUGAGCCUUGAUGUGUAGGAUAGGUGGGAGGCUUUGAAGUGUGGACGCCAGUCUGCAUGGAGCCGACCUUGAAAUACCACCCUUUAAUGUUUGAUGUUCUAACGUGGACCCGUUACCCGGGUUGCGGACAGUGUCUGGUGGGUAGUUUGACUGGGGCGGUCUCCUCC